CGGCACGGGUGCGUAACGCGUAUGCAACCUACCAUCAACAGGGGGAUAACACUGAGAAAUUGGUACUAAUACCCCAUAAUAUCUCAUGCGGCAUCGCAUGGGGUUGAAAACUCCGGUGGUUGAUGAUGGGCAUGCGUUGUAUUAGCUGGUUGGUGAGGUAACGGCUCACCAAGGCGACGAUACAUAGGGGGACUGAGAGGUUAGCCCCCCACAUUGGUACUGAGACACGGACCAAACUCCUACGGGAGGCAGCAG
rnacentral:rRNA from 1 species